rnacentral:lncRNA from 1 species
UCCUUCUCCUCGACGAGCUCCAUGAGAAGGCCAACUUCACAAGGAGGCCGACGUGGACUUCAUCUAGAGGCCGACUUCAUCUGGAGGCCGAUCUCAUCAAGUCAUCCAAAAUUUUGGACUUCGUCCAGAAGUCGAGGAGAAAAUCUGAGGAAAAACUCUGACAAGACUGGCAAAUCCGAGGAGGAAAUCUGAGAAAAUCCACCUCACUUGGAGGUCCCUACAAAAUGGCUAAGCACGGAGACUCUGAAAGAUAGACGACUCAAAAAAUCUAUAAAAUAACCAUUCCCUCAUCGGCU